GACGAACGCUGGCGGCGUGCUUAACACAUGCAAGUCGAACGGAAAGGCCCCUUUGGGGGUACUCGAGUGGCGAACGGGUGAGUAACACGUGAGUAACCUGCCCUUGACUUCGGGAUAACUUCAGGAAACUGGGGCUAAUACCGGAUAGGAAUCCUUGCUGCAUGGUGGGGGUUGGAAAGCUUCGGCGGUUUUGGAUGGACUCGCGGCUUAUCAGCUUGUUGGUGGGGUAGUGGCUUACCAAGGCUUUGACGGGUAGCCGGCCUGGGGGGGCGACCGGCCACAUUGGGACUGAGAUAAGGCCCAGACGCCUACGGGAGGCAGCAGGGGGGAAUAUUGCACAAUGGGCGGAAGCCUGAUGCAGCAACGCCGCGUGCGGGAUGACGGCCUUCGGGUUGUAAACCGCUUUCAGCAGGGGCGAAGCUUGUGGUGACGGUACCUGCAGAAGAAGCACCGGCUAACUACGUG
rnacentral:rRNA from 1 species